rnacentral:rRNA from 1 species
ACAUUAGCGCAGCUUACACAUGCAAGUCGAGCGCCCCGCAAGGGGAGCGGCAGACGGGUGAGUAACGCGUGGGAACGUACCUUUUGCUACGGAAUAACUCAGGGAAACUUGUGCUAAUACCGUAUGUGCCCUUCGGGGGAAAGAUUUAUCGGCAAAGGAUCGGCCCGCGUUGGAUUAGCUAGUUGGUGAGGUAAAGGCUCACCAAGGCGACGAUCCAUAGCUGGUCUGAGAGGAUGAUCAGCCACACUGGGACUGAGACACGGCCCAGACUCCUACGGGAGGCAGCAGUGGGGAAUAUUGGACAAUGGGCGCAAGCCUGAUCCAGCCAUGCCGCGUGAGUGAUGAAGGCCCUAGGGUUGUAAAGCUCUUUCACCGGUGAAGAUAAUGACGGUAACCGGAGAAGAAGCCCCGGCUAACUUCGUGCCAGCAGCGGGCGGUAAUA